rnacentral:sRNA from 1 species
AUUUAGGUGAGGAGUGAAAUAAGUAAAAGUCCUUGAGGUCGAAACAUGGCAAGACUCUCGGGGGCUUUUUCUUU